CUGCAGCCCACCAGGCUCCUCUGUCCAUGGGAUUUUCCAGGCAAGAGUACUGGAGUGGAGUGCCUUUGCCUUCUCUGAAUGAACACAUAAUGAGGUGCAAAGUCCACUGAAAGUCACAUCUUCCGACGUCUUAUACCUCACUGGUUCUGAACAGUUUAUGUUGUAUCCUCACCAGCUUUGUCAUUCUUUUGAAAGUUGUGCCCAGCCCCUUCCCUCCUGUUUCAAAAUGCUAUCUUUGAUAAUACUUUUCUUUCUGGUACAGGCCUUCUUUCCAGUGUAAAUUAGGCAGUGGAAGGGAAGGUAAAGAGCUUCUCCUGAAUCUACUGAGUUCUUGGUUGCCUUUAGCUAAAAAAAAAUAAUCCUCAUAUGUAACUGGCAUAUUUUGGGGUGGCAAAAUCCACUCGCCUUCAGCUGCAAGAGAUAUUCCUAAGGAGAGUGCAAAAGAUACUACCCUCCCAAGACCCAAAUCAUUCCCAAAACACAGCCGAGAGAUAGAUGUAGGCAGUUGCCUUGAAAGCUGGCAACAAUCAGUAGAACUUUAGUUGCCACUGGCGUUUCUUUCUGCAUUUCUACCCUGCAUUUCCUUCUGAUCACAUCUUGGGGCCCCCAACUUGACUGUUCCAAAGCUAAGGUCUCAGUACAUAAAAUCAGACAAACAAGAAAAGCAAAGGCUAUUCUGGGAGAGAAAGGUUCAACAACCAAUAGGUACUAACAAAAUGAAGGAUAAAAAUCAUGAUCAUUUCAAUAGACACAGAAAAAGCAUUUGACAAAUUUCAACAUCCAUUUAUGAUAAAAAUUCUCAACAGAGUGGGUAUAGAUUGAAUGUACCUCAAUAUAGUAAAGUCCAUAUAUGACAAGACAAGAGCUAAAAUUAUACUCAGUGGUAAAAAGCUGAAAGCUUUUCCUUUAAGAUCAGGAACAAGACAAGGAUGCCCACUCUAGCCAGUUUUAUUCAACACAGUAUUGAAAAUCUUGGCUAGAGCAAUCAGGAAGAAGAGAUAAAAAGCAAUGAAAUUGGAAAGGAAGAGGUAAAACUAUUAUUGUGGACAACAUGAUUUUGUAUAUGGAAAACCCUAAAGACUCUACCAGAAAACUGUUAGAACUAAUACACAUAUUUAGUAAAGUUGCAGGGUUAAGCAAAGUCAAUGUACAAAACUGUUAUGUUCUUAAAUACUAUCAACAAACUAUUAGAGAAAUCAAGAAAAUAAUCUUGUUUAUAAUUGCAUCAGAAAGAAGAAAAUGCAUAGGAAUAGAUUUAACCAAGGCAGGUGGCAAAAGAUCCAUACACUGAGAACUGUGAGACAUUGAUGAAAGAAACUGAAGAAGACACAAUGGAUUGGAAAAAAUAAUAUUGUAAAAAUGUCCAUGUUACCCAAAAUGAUCUACAGAUUCAAUGCAAUCCUCAUUGAAAUCUCAGUGGCAUUUUCACAGAAAUAUUUAGAACACAUAAUACUAAAAUCUGUAUGGAACCACAAAAUAUCCUGAAUAUUGAGAUAUUGAGCCAAAGCAGUAUUGAGAAAGAGGAAUGAUGCUGGAUGCAUCAUACUUUCUGAUUUCAAACUGUACUACAAAGCUAUAGUAAUCAUGGCUCUGGCAUAAAAACAGACACAUAAAUCAGUGAAAUGAACAAAGAGCUCAGAGAUAGACCCAAGCGUAUAUAGUCAAUUUAUGCCAAGAAUAUACAGUGGGGAAGGGACAGUCUCUUUAGUAAAUUGUGCUAGGAAAACUGGACCACUAUUUCAUACCAUACACAAAAGCUAACUCAAAAUGGAUUAAAGGUUUGAAUGCAGUACCAGAAACUGUGAAACUCCUAGAAGACAACAUAGGCGGUAAGGUGUUUGACAUUGCUCUUUGUGAUGUUUUUUUGGAUCUGACUCCAAAGGCAGUGACAACCACAACAAACAUAAAUGAAUGCAACUUCAUGAAGCCAAAGAACUUCUGCACUGUGAAGGAAACCACCAACAAAGCAAAAAGGCAACCUACUGAAUGGCAGAAGACAUUUGGAGAUCACAUAUCCAGUAAGGGGUUAAUAUCCAAAAUAGAUAAAGAGCUCAUAGAACUCAAUAACAAUCCAACUGAAAAAUGGACAGAACAUCUGAACAGACAUUUUUUUCAAAGCCAUUCACAUGGCCAACAGGCACAUGAAAUGAUGCUCAACAUUACGAAUCACUAGCACCAUAUAAAUCAAAACCACAAUGAGCUAUGAUCUCACAACUGUCAGGAUGGCUGUCAUAAAAGGAAAAGAAGUAUUGGUGAGAAUGUGCAUCUGUGCAGCCACUGUGGAAACAGUAUGGAGCAUCCUAAAAAAAAGUUAAAAAUAGAACUACCUUAUGAUCCAGCAACUCCACCUCAGGGUAUUUACCUGACUAGAAAGGAUCUAUGCACCUGUAUGUUCACUGCAGUGUGAUUCACAAUAUCCAAGAUGUGGAAACAACCCAAGUGUCCAGAUCAUCGGGCAAGAGAUCCUGUAGGUUGGGGACCCCUACCCUAGAGAAAGAGUGAGCCAAGGACUCACUGUAAAGGGUAGAAGAAAAAUUCCUCUUCCUUCUCUCCAGAAUCUGCAGAAGGGAACUUGGGAAAAUGAGCAGAAGCCACCAAAGGAUGGAAAUUGUUACCAGGGUCAGCUUACCCAGGUCUCUAUCUGUGGUGCCUAGUCAAGAGAGGGAGGUAAAAUUUUACAUUGCCCUUUUCUUUGCAAAUUCAGUCAUUAAUUUGGUUCUGGGAUUCACCUGUGAGUGGAUAGAAAUAAAGUGCACAAUAAAUGUAAUCCGACUGAAUCAUCCCCAAACCAUCCCCCUCCUCCCUCAUCAGUGGAAAAACUGUCUUCCAUGAAACCAGUGCCUCAUGCCAAAAAGGUUGGGGACUGCUGCUUCAGGGCAUCUUGUAAAGGGAUAAGCUUCAGAUCAGAUCAGAUCAGUCGCUCAGUCGUGUCCGACUCUUUGCGACCCCAUGAAUCGCAGCACGCCAGGCCUCCCUAAAUUAAAAAGUUCCCCAUGGAUUAUGUUUGAUAGGUUUAACCUGCCAUUUCAGCUGUAAAACACAAUUGUAUUCACCUGAGACCUCAGCCCCACCCUAAGUCAGAUCCACUCUGUUGCCAGACACUCUCCUUCCUGCAUCAGAGUAGGCAGCCUUUAGCAGGUUUCCUGACCCAGAGCAGAAAAAGAAAUGCUCAGAUGGCCUGGAAGCUUAGGAAGCAAAAGCUGGGGAUCCAGGACCAAGUGGACUCACCCAGCACCUCCAGGGACAGCAAGAGAACAGCAGAUACCCGCCCUGGUUGCUCUGGGUUCCUGGCAGCUGUCGGGGGAGGGGACAUUUGGGGCAUUGUAAAACCUUUAGGGUUUGAGCAAAAAUUGAUUUCAAUCAGGCAGUAUCCAGUCAAGUAGGUGGAAAGAAACUCGGAGAAGCUGUACAAAAUGAAAGACUUUUAUAGACAGAAAGGAGCAGGAACUGGGGAGUUUUAUUAGUCAAAAAAAGCUGGUUGGUUAUUGCCCAAUUAUUUCCUUUAGGGCAGCAGUCCCCAGCCUUUUUGGCUCCGGGGACUGGUUUUGUGGAAGGCGGUUUUUCCAUGGAUGGUGGGGAGGGGCGUUGGUGGUUCAGGCGGUAACGCCAGCGAUGGGGAGCUGCUCACCUCCCACUGGGUGGCCCAGCUCCUAACAGACCGUGGACUGGUACUGGCCCCAGGCUUGGGGGCUGGGGACCCCUGGUUUAGAGGCUAGCAGGGGCCAGUCAGGCAGAUGCCCUGACUGGUGCUGGUCAGGGGGUUUCUGGUGGACUUACUGAAGAUGCCGUCUCUGGGAAAGUUGAAACGGUCUCGGUUUGGUGACGUGGGACUUAGGAUAAGCGACUCUGUUCUGGGCCUGAUGUCUUGUUUUUAACAAAGGCUCAGGGCAUUGUUUAUAUCUUUGUUGAAAACAUGGGGUGGAGGUGACACCCCGGGCUUUGAAAUGGCAGAUGCAAGUUUGGUUUCCAUGUCCUCUACGUGCGUGUGGGUUCCCAGUGCUUCAGCAGACUUUCCAAGAAAUACAGCUGGUUGGUUUUGCUUUAUGUCUGCACCUGAAGUCAAUUCUUGUUAACCGUCAAUACCGAAAAUACUGCUUUCAGUUAAAAAGAAGCUCCAAUCAACUGUUGUAACUCUUUCUGUUGAAAGAAGCUGCAAAGAUUCUUGUGCUCCUGUGCACAUAAAAGCAUCUUGCUGGAAGGCUGGGCUCCACUGGGAGUGAGAAUCUGUUUCAUUUGCCUUCUCAUUUCCUUAGAAAAUUUAGGAGUAGCUUCUGAAUAGAUACGGUGGGCAGCAGAUGUAUGUCAUAAAAAUGAAUUUUAAUUCUCAUGUUCUGGCCAAGGCAGCAGUGCCUGGGAGCCAACUCUAGGUGCGAGCUAACUCCCUGUUGCAGAACCCUAGAUGGCUGGCUUUGUUUUUUAUACACUUGCUUAAUGUGUUAGUGAAAUAAAUAGAAGGAAAGAAAAAAAGAGGAAAGGGGAGAGGGAGAAGAAGGAAUAGGGAGAGGGAGAGGGAAGGAAGGAUGGAAGACCUUGAGUUCUCAUUUCCUAAGGAGGGAUUAUUCAGUAAACAGUGAACUUGCUAGACAGACCAUGAGGGGGUUGUGUAUUUCUCACGUCUCAGACCCCAUCCUGUGUCUAGGUGUAAUGAGGUCUUCAGGGGGACGUGGAAGAAGUUACGAAACCAAAGCAGGGUCAGAGAGGGACCUCCAUCCUGGAUUCUGAGCUAGGAAAGGAGCUGUGUGUUAUCAGACACUCAGAUACGCGAAUUUGAGGAAGACCAGAGUUAAAAUAUAGUUAAAACCCGGCCCAUUGUGGCGACCCGACAAACAAGAGAUGAAGUCACAGCGGCCACCUGGCCCUGGUGGGCAUCCUGUUUCUUCUUUAAGGCGAUAUCCUGUUUUUCUCUGCUGGUGCCAGUUUCUCAAGACUAUGUGACCACCCGACCAUGAGACCCCUUCGACUAUGUGACCACAAGACCCCAGCUGCGGGCUAAAGAUAAACUGAGGCCCCCUCCCUCCAGGGCUCAAUUCCCCAUUGAUAGGGUAUAAGAAGGGUUGUCUGUAAAAGGAGAGCGCUGGUUUCUCUCCAAAGCCAGUCAGUUUCUCUCUUUCUUCCUGUAAUAAAUCUUUCUCUGCC